rnacentral:lncRNA from 1 species
GUGCACAUUUUAUUACUUUUAAGGUUGAAAGAGACUGAUUGAGGUCAAACUGUAAGUAUAUAUGUGGGUUCUUUUAUUACACUAGACCGUAUGUAUAUAUAGCAGGCUCCAGAGAUAUAUGAUAUCUUUAUUUUUUUUAAUCAUGCGUGUGCAUCUUUUUUGUAUUUCAAAUAAUAUUCCAAAUUACCGACAGAUUGUGCCUUGGAAUCCUAUGCAGUUUCCAGUACAAAACUGACACAUGUAGAUUCAAUUUUACAUGAAAAAUGUAACAUCUG